AAAUUGAAGAGUUUGAUCAUGGCUCAGAUUGAACGCUGGCGGCAGGCCUAACACAUGCAAGUCGAGCGGUAGCACAGAGAGCUUGCUCUCGGGUGACGAGCGGCGGACGGGUGAGUAAUGUCUGGGAAACUGCCUGAUGGAGGGGGAUAACUACUGGAAACGGUAGCUAAUACCGCAUAAUGUCGCAAGACCAAAGUGGGGGACCUUCGGGCCUCAUGCCAUCAGAUGUGCCCAGAUGGGAUUAGCUAGUAGGUGGGGUAACGGCUCACCUAGGCGACGAUCCCUAGCUGGUCUGAGAGGAUGACCAGCCACACUGGAACUGAGACACGGUCCAGACUCCUACGGGAGGCAGCAGUGGGGAAUAUUGCACAAUGGGCGCAAGCCUGAUGCAGCCAUGCCGCGUGUGUGAAGAAGGCCUUCGGGUUGUAAAGCACUUUCAGCGGGGAGGAAGGCGUUAAGGUUAAUAACCUUGUCGAUUGACGUUACCCGCAGAAGAAGCACCGGCUAACUCCGUGCCAGCAGCCGCGGUAAUACGGAGGGUGCAAGCGUUAAUCGGAAUUACUGGGCGUAAAGCGCACGCAGGCGGUCUGUCAAGUCGGAUGUGAAAUCCCCGGGCUCAACCUGGGAACUGCAUUCGAAACUGGCAGGCUAGAGUCUUGUAGAGGGGGGUAGAAUUCCAGGUGUAGCGGUGAAAUGCGUAGAGAUCUGGAGGAAUACCGGUGGCGAAGGCGGCCCCCUGGACAAAGACUGACGCUCAGGUGCGAAAGCGUGGGGAGCAAACAGGAUUAGAUACCCUGGUAGUCCACGCCGUAAACGAUGUCGAUUUGGAGGUUGUGCCCUUGAGGCGUGGCUUCCGGAGCUAACGCGUUAAAUCGACCGCCUGGGGAGUACGGCCGCAAGGUUAAAACUCAAAUGAAUUGACGGGGGCCCGCACAAGCGGUGGAGCAUGUGGUUUAAUUCGAUGCAACGCGAAGAACCUUACCUGGUCUUGACAUCCACAGAACUUUCCAGAGAUGGAUUGGUGCCUUCGGGAACUGUGAGACAGGUGCUGCAUGGCUGUCGUCAGCUCGUGUUGUGAAAUGUUGGGUUAAGUCCCGCAACGAGCGCAACCCUUAUCCUUUGUUGCCAGCGGUUAGGCCGGGAACUCAAAGGAGACUGCCAGUGAUAAACUGGAGGAAGGUGGGGAUGACGUCAAGUCAUCAUGGCCCUUACGACCAGGGCUACACACGUGCUACAAUGGCAUAUACAAAGAGAAGCGACCUCGCGAGAGCAAGCGGACCUCAUAAAGUAUGUCGUAGUCCGGAUUGGAGUCUGCAACUCGACUCCAUGAAGUCGGAAUCGCUAGUAAUCGUAGAUCAGAAUGCUACGGUGAAUACGUUCCCGGGCCUUGUACACACCGCCCGUCACACCAUGGGAGUGGGUUGCAAAAGAAGUAGGUAGCUUAACCUUCGGGAGGGCGCUUACCACUUUGUGAUUCAUGACUGGGGUGAAGUCGUAACAAGGUAACCGUAGGGGAACCUGCGGUUGGAUCACCUCCUUA
rnacentral:rRNA from 2 species